UCUAGUUCGUCCCUUUUGGUCUCCACCCGAGGCCCCGACUUCACUUCCCCGAUGUCGGAGAUCGGUGGGGGACCAAGAGGGAUGAAAAGCACUCA
rfam:Actinomyces turicensis ACS-279-V-Col4 genomic scaffold supercont1.3, whole genome shotgun sequence.